GACGAACGCUGGCGGCGGGCUUAACACGUGCAAGUCGAACGAGGUCCAUUCUGUAGCAAUACAGAGGAAGACCUAGUGGCGAACGGGUGAGGAACACGUGAGGAACCUGCCCCGAACUUUGGGAUAACAGUUGGAAACGACUGCUAAUACCGAAUGCCGUUACGAAGUGGCAUCACUUUGUAACGAAAGAAUUUCGGUUCGGGAGGGCCUCGCGGCCUAUCAGCUAGUUGGUGGGGUAAUGGCCUACCAAGGCAUCGACGGGUAGCUGGUCUGAGAGGAUGAUCAGCCACACUGGGACUGAGACACGGCCCAGACUCCUACGGGAGGCAGCAGUGGGGAAUCUUGUGCAAUGGGCGAAAGCCUGACACAGCCACGCCGCGUGCGGGAAGAAGGCCUUCGGGUUGUAAACCGCUUUCAGCAGGAACGAAAAUGACGGUACCU
rnacentral:rRNA from 1 species